UUGCUCAAAAAUAAACGAAAAGGGUGGAAUGAGAAGGCCAUGCCAAGGUGGCCACUGGCAAGUGAGUGUCAGUUACUCAGGAAUGGCUUUGAAACCCACCUGGCAACAGAGCCUGCCUGGCAACAGGCUGUGAUUGGUUGGGGCAUAGACCGCCCCUUGACCAGAUUGGCUGAUCUUGGCUAUAUAAGAUAUGGUUCCAACUGUAAUAAACGAGUCUGCGGGCUGCUCGCCUCAAGCCUGCUUUCACCUGACUCCCGGGGUCUGUGUGGUGACUCCGCGCCUCUUGCCCCCACCAUGCUGCUCCUCUCAGAAACGAAUCCACUGCAACAUUGUUGAGAAAUCAGCGGCAACAUGAUACCUGCAGGCCUAGUAUCUUCAGGCUCCUCCGUGUUGUAGAUGUAUCACUACUUUGAGCUGUGAAGCUUUGAAAAGUGCUCCAUUGUGUGGAUGAGCAACCAUUCACUCACAAACUUCUGAGGAAGGCAGAGUGGACAGUGAGAGCGACAGAGAGAAAGGUCUUCCUUUGCUGUUGGUUCACCCUUCAAUGGCCGCCGUGGCCGGCGCGCUGAUCAAAGGCAGGAGCCAGGUACUUCUCCUGGUCUCCCAUGGGGUGCAGGGCCCAAGGACUUGGGCCAUCCUGCACUGCACUCCCGGGCCACAGCAGAGAGCUGGCCUGGAAGAGGGGCAACCGGGACAGAAUCUGGUGCCCCCACCGGGACUAGAACCUGGGGUGCCGGCGCCGCUAGGUGGAGGAUUAGCCUAGUGAGCCGCGGCGCCGGCCAGGAUCCUAAGCUUUGCAGCCUUCACUGAGAGGGGAGCAGCCUGAG